rnacentral:rRNA from 1 species
CCUACGGGGAGCAGCAGUGAGGAAUAUUGGUCAAUGGACGAGAGUCUGAACCAGCCAAGUAGCGUGAAGGAUGACUGCCCUAUGGGUUGUAAACUUCUUUUAUAUGGGAAUAAAAUGUUACACGUGUGGGAUUUUGUAUGUACCAUAUGAAUAAGGAUCGGCUAACUCCGUGCCAGCAGCCGCGGUAAUACGGAGGCUCCGAGCGUUAUCCGGAUUUAUUGGGUUUAAAGGGAGCGUAGGUGGAUUGUUAAGUCAGUUGUGAAAGUUUGCGGCUCAACCGUAAAAUUGCAGUUGAAACUGGCAGUCUUGAGUACAGUAGAGGUGGGCGGAAUUCGUGGUGUAGCGGUGAAAUGCUUAGAUAUCACGAAGAACUCCGAUUGCGAAGGCAGUUCACUGGACUGCAACUGACACUGAGGCUCGAAAGUGUGGGUAUCAAACAGGAUUAGAUACCCGGGUAGUC